AGAGUUCGAUCCUGGCUCGGAAUGAACGCUGGCGGCAAUGCUUAACACAUGCAAGCCGGACGGGAAGUGGUGUUUCAGUGGAGGACGGGUGAGGUAACGCGUAAGGCACCUGCCCUUGGAGAGGAACAAAGUUGGAAACGGCUGGCUUAUAUCCCCGUAAGGCUGAGAAGCAAAAGGAGGAAUCCGCUCGACGGAGGGGGUCGCGUCUGAUUAGCUAGUUGGUGAGGCAAUCAAGCUUAGCCAAGGCGAUGAUCAGUCCAGCUGGUCCGAAAGAAUGAUCAGCCACAUGGGACUGAGACACGGCCCAGACUCCUACGGGGGGCAGUAGUGGGGAAAUUUUCCGCAGUGGGCGAAAUUCUCUGAUGGAGCAUGCCGCGUGGAGCGUAGAAUGCCCACGGGUCAAUGAACUUCUUUUCCUGGAGAAGAAGAAUGAACGGUAUCGCGGGGAAUAAGCAGCGGCUUAACUCUGUGCCCAGCAGCCGCGGUAAAGAACACAGGAUGGCAACCCGUUAUCCCGGAAUAUUGGGCGUAAACGUCUGUAGGUGGCUUUUUUAAGUCCGCGUCAAAUCCCAGGGCUCACCCCUGGAACAGGCGGUGGAAGACUACCUAGCUAAGAGUACGGAGGGGUAAGGAAUUUCCGGUGGACGUGGUGAAAUGCUAGAGAUCGAAAGAACACCAACGGCGAAAGCACUUCUGUUGGGCCGACACUGACACUGAGAGAUCAGAAAGUUAGGGGAGCGAAUGGGAUUAGAUACCCCAUUAGUCUUGGCCAGUUAACGAGGAUACUAAAGCACUGUGCGUAAUCGAACCCGUGCAAGUGUUGUAGCUAACGCGUAAGUACCCGCCGGGAAGUACGUUCGGCAAGAAUGAAACUCAAAGGAAAUAACAGGGGCCCGCACAAGCGGUGGAGCAUGUGGUUCUAAUCGAUGCAAAAGCGAAGAACCUUCCAGGUCUGACAUGCCGGAAUACCUCCUUGAAAGAGAGGGGUGCCUUCGGCACGCGGAUACAGGUGGUGCAUGGCUGUCGUUAGCUCGUGCCGUAGGUGUUGGGUUAAGUCCCGCAAUGAGCGCAACCCUCGUGUUUAGUUGCCAAACGUUGAGUUUGGAACCCUGAACAGACUGCGGUUGAUUAAGCCGGAGGAAGGUGAGGAUGGAAGUCAAGUCAUCAAUGCCCCUUAUCCCCUGGCGACACACGUGCACAAUGCGGGACAAAGGGCUGCGAUCCGCGAGGGUGAGCUAUACCCCAAAAAAACCCGUCCCUCGUUCGGAUUGCAGCUGCAAACUCGUUCCUGCAAUGAAAGCCGGAAUCGCUAGAAAUCUGCUCGGUCAGUCCAAUACGGCGGUGAAAUCGUUCCCUUUCGGGCCUGUACAACACCGCGCGUUCACACACUAGGGAGCUGGCCAUGCCGAAGUCGUUACCUUAAACCGCAAGAGUGGGAAAUGCCGAAGGCGGGGGCUAGUGGAACUGUAGUGAAGGUCGUAAUCAAGGUAGCCGACUAGAAGGGUGCGGCUU
rnacentral:rRNA from 1 species